rnacentral:tRNA from 1 species
GGCGGCGUAGCUCAGUGGUAGAGCAAGCGGCUCAUAAUCGCUGUGUCGGCGGUUCGAAUCCGCCCGCCGCUACCC